UACGUAGGCAGCGAGCGUUGUUCGGAGUUACUGGGCGUAAAGGGUGUGUAGGCGGUUGUUUAAGUUUGGUGUGAAAUACUCCCGGCUCAACUGGGAGGGUGCGCCGAAUACUGAAUGACUUGGAGUGCGGGAGAGGUGAGUGGAAUUCCUGGUGUAGCGGUGAAAUGCGUAGAUAUCAGGAGGAAUACCGAUGGCGAAGGCAGCCUCCUGGGCCAACACUGACGCUCAUGCACGAAAGCGUGGGGAGCAAACAGG
rnacentral:rRNA from 1 species